UACAGAGGUCCCAAGCGUUGUUCGGAUUCACUGGGCGUAAAGCGUGCGCAGGCGGUUCGCUAAGACAGAUGUGAAAUCCCCGGGCUUAACCUGGGAACUGCAUUUGUGACUGGCGGGCUAGAGUAUGGCAGAGGGGGGGUAGAAUUCCACGUGUAGCAGUGAAAUGCAUAGAGAUGUGGAGGAAUACCAAUGGCGAAGGCAGCCCCCUGGGUUAACACUGACGCUCAUGCACGAAAGCGUGGGGGAGCAAACAGG
rnacentral:rRNA from 1 species